rnacentral:rRNA from 1 species
UACGAAGGGGGCUAGCGUUGUUCGGAAUUACUGGGCGUAAAGCGCACGUAGGCGGAUAUUUAAGUCAGGGGUGAAAUCCUGGAGCUCAACUCCAGAACUGCCUUCGAUACUGUAGAGCUUGAGUUCGGGAGAGGUGAGUGGAACUGCGAGUGUAGAGGUGAAAUUCGUAGAUAUUCGCAAGAACACCAGUGGCGAAGGCGGCUCACUGGCCCGAUACUGACGCUGAAGCGCGACAGCGUGGGGAGCAAACAGG